AGAUACCAUUUGCGGUAUUCCUGAGUCAGAAGAGAGGAAAGGUGAUACUGCCACCCCCUGUAUGUAUUUCCUUUUAGAUGUGGGUGGAGGUAUUGAUAUAGUCAUGAUUUUGAUGACUAACUAGUUUGUGAUCUGGAUAUGAAGUGUCACCAUGCUACAGUGCCUGAGUCUGCUUCAGAUUCUUCUUCUUCUUGGCCAUCUUUAUUGGGGAAAUAAGUAUGUGAAAUAAGUAUAGUCUAUGCCCUUUUUGAGUACCACUGGUUAAUUAAUUUUGUUAUUUUCAAGUGUAUGUGCUUUAAUUCACAUGGCAUUAAAAGAAUCAGUAGUAUAGUUUC
rnacentral:lncRNA from 1 species